AACACAAAUGAACUAGGAACAUCAAUUUCUCUGGAUCAGAACGCAGUCUGGUCUAAACCAGAUGUGGACUAUACACCUUAUAAAAAUAUUAUAUCAGCUGUAUGGCCCACAUUAAGACAUAGAAACUAUACUUGGGGUUUACUGGAAGACCCAGCAUUCUCUACUCUAACACAUUUUACUCAACCGAAGAUGAUGAUAAGAGAUCCUUGUUCACAUCCAGAUGUUAUAAAGUGUGGACAAACCGAAAACGAAUACAUCAAUGUAUUAACUCAAAAUACUUUAAAACACGGAAGGCGGUAUUAUAUCUGUAUCCAUGCUGAUGCUGUUGUUGCUGGUCAUGAAAAAUGGACGGAAGAUUUGGAAGAAGUAAACGCAUGUAGUGAUGGUGUAACUGUUGAUUUGACUCCACCAAAUGGUGGUCGGGUGUGGGUGGAGAACUUGAAAGAUUUUAAAUACCAGUCAUCCGACAGUGAUGUAGCUGUUUACUGGGAUAGUUUUCUUGACGUAGAAGAAAAUGGUGGAAAAACUGUUCAUCCAAGUGGAAUAUCAAAAUAUCAUUUAUAUAUCGGUUCUAUAGAGGGAGGUGAAGAUAUUGUAACUAAACAUAACGUUGGUUUGAUAAAUCAUAAAAUAUUACACCAUCUUUCUUUACAAAAUGGCCACACUUAUUACGUCACUAUAGAAGCAAUUGAUUUUGUAAACAGGACAAAAACCGUUUCAUCUGAAGGUUUCAUAAUUGAUAAUAGUCCACCAGAAACUACAUCUAAACCUAUACAAUUUACUAAUACAUAUAUACAGUCAAAUGAUGUAUUGUCUGCGUGUUGGAGUGGAUCAUUUAAAGACACCGAAAGUGGUAUAAGUCAGUAUCGGUGGGCAAUAGGUACUAGACCAGGUCAUGAAAACAUUAGGGCUUAUAUGAUAACCGAUAAUGAUUGUGAUGAAGCGAACCUAGAACACAAAUUGCAAGAUGGACACGUUUAUUACGUAACAGUUCAGGCCAUUAAUGGUGCAGGGUUAUCUACUACAUUAAUAUCUCAUCCAGUGACAG